UUUGUAUUACGUGCGGAAAUUGUUACCAUUUUCGGCUCAAAAAUGGUAACAAUUUCCGCACGUAAUACAUU
rnacentral:miRNA from 1 species